UACAGGGGGUGCAAACGUUGCUCGGAAUUAUUGGGCGUAAAGCGCUCGCAGGUGGUUCGUCGCGUCGUGCGUGAAAGACCCCGGCUCAACUGGGGAGGGUCGUGCGAUACGGGCGAACUGGAGGCCAGUAGGGGGAUGCGGAAUUCCGGGUGUAGUGGUGGAAUGCGUAGAGAUCCGGAGGAACACCAGCGGCGAAGGCGGCAUCCUGGACUGGUCCUGACACUCAGGAGCGAAAGCGUGGGGAGCGAUCCGG
rnacentral:rRNA from 1 species